AAGGGUGCGUAGGCGGUUGUGUUAGUCUUGUGUUAAAUUUCUCGGCUCAACCGGGAAGCUGCACGGGAAACGGCACGACUAAGAGGUUGGAAGGGGUUUGCGGAACUCAUGGUGUAGCGGUGAAAUGCGUUGAUAUCAUGGGGAACACCAAAAGCGAAGGCAGCAAACUGGUCCAAAUCUGACGCUGAAGCACGAAAGCGUGGGUCGCGAAUGGGAUUAGAUACCCCUGU
rnacentral:rRNA from 1 species